rnacentral:pre_miRNA from 1 species
UUGGUACUCCCUCCGUCUGGAAAUAUUUGUCCUAGAAAUGGAUAAAAUGGAUGUAUCUAUAACUAAAAUAAGUCUAGAUACAACCAUUUCGAGGACAAGUAUUUCCGGACGGAGGGAGUAUGAU